CAGCGGUUCACAGGCUGCUCCAAAACAGAGUGUGAAAGUGCUCUACUGAGAGCCAUCUACAGUACAGAUGAUCUGACUGAAGACAUGACCUCAGCAGAUGUCCGCAAACACACAGAUGUGGCUAACAGACGGGAGCGAAAACAAAGAAGGUAACAUUCACAAGUGGUCCCAACUGCACUGGUGAUGAUCCAGUGUGGCUGCACUCAUGCUGAAGCACAGCGUCAUUUGGAUUGUCAUUCUGUUAUUCGAGAUGCAUUGAACGCCUGCCUCAACUCCUCAAAAACAACAGCACUGUGGACUGAACACACAA